GAUGAACGCUGGCGGCGUGCCUAAUACAUGCAAGUCGAGCGAACGGACGAGAAGCUUGCGUCUCUGAUGUUAGCGGCGGACGGGUGAGUAACACGUGGAUAACCUACCUAUAAGACUGGGAUAACUUCGGGAAACCGGAGCUAAUACCAGAUAAUAUUUUGAACCGCAUGGUUCAAAAGUGAAAGACGGUCUUGCUGUCACUUAUAGAUGGAUCCGCGCUGCAUUAGCUAGUUGGUAAGGUAACGGCUUACCAAGGCAACGAUGCGUAGCCGACCUGAGAGGGUGAUCGGCCACACUGGAACUGAGACACGGUCCAGACUCCUACGGGAGGCAGCAGUAGGGAAUCUUCCGCAAUGGGCGAAAGCCUGACGGAGCAACGCCGCGUGAGUGAUGAAGGUCUUCGGAUCGUAAAACUCUGUUAUUAGGGAAGAACAUAUGUGUAAGUAACUGUGCACAUCUUGACGGUACCUAAUCAGAAAGCCACGGCUAACUACGUG
rnacentral:rRNA from 1 species